rnacentral:rRNA from 1 species
CACGCAUGACACACUGCAUAUCAAUAAGCGGAGGAAAAGAAACUAACAAGGAUUCCCCUAGUAACGGCGAGUGAAGCGGGAAGAGCUCAAAUUUGAAAUCUUAAAGGGUUUCCCUUUACGAAUUGUAGUUUAAAGAAGUGUUUUCUGUUGGAGUUUCGGUAAAAGUUCUUUGGAAUAGGACAUCAUAGAGGGUGAGAAUCCCGUAUUUGACCAUUAUUUUCAGCUGUGUGAUACACUUUCAAAGAGUCGGAUUGUUUGGGAAUGCAGUCCAAAAUGGGUGGUAAAUUUCAUCUAAAGCUAAAUAUUGGCGAGAGACCGAUAGCGAACAAGUACCGUGAGGGAAAGAUGAAAAGAACUUUGAAAAGAGAGUUAAACAGUACGUGAAAUUGUCAAAAGGGAAGCGUUUGACACCAGUGUUGUUUUUCCGAAAAUCAAUUAAAAAUUGAUUCAUGCCAGGUUGUAUUGACUUCAUCAGCUUGCAAUGGCUUCUUUCAGGAUUAUUUGAUGCACUUUUCAGGUUAACAAGUCAACAUCAAUUUCUUUUGUUGUAAAAGGGUAUGAGGAAGGUGGCUUACUCUUCGGCGUAAAGUGUUUAUAGCCUUGUACCUCCUGCAAUCGGAGAGAUUGAGGUCUGCAGCGUAGACUCUUCGGGGUUAGAUACACUUGUGCUAAGCUAUAGCCUUGUAUAGACAACUUGUUGACUAUGCUCAGUCAUGUAGCUUACUCGCUUAUGCUAUUUUACCUACGCUUAGGAUGUUGACUGAUAUGUAGUCGUA